GCGGCCUCUCGUGCUCCGCAGCGCCGGCUCGGUCCGCGGCGGCGUCUCGGCGCGCUCCCCGUCCGGCAUGGCGGAGGCUCAGCAGCUGCGGGUGCAGGAGGCCAUCGACGGCAUGGUGCAGGGCCUGGAGCGGGAGCACAUCCGCAAGAUGCAGGGCCUGAUGUUCCGCUGCAGCGCCACGUGCUGCGAGAACCCGCGGGCCUCCAUGCAGCAGGUGCACCAGUGCAUCGAGCGCUGCCACGCGCCGCUGGCCCAGGCGCAGGCCCUGGUCACGCAGGAGCUGGAGCGCUUCCAGAGCCGCCUCUCUCGCUGCACCAUGCACUGCAACGACAAAGCCAAGGACGCCUUGGACUCCGGGAGCAAAGAGUCGCAGGUGAAGCUGCAGCUGGAGAACUGUGUGAUGAAGUGUGUGGAUGACCACGUGCAUCUCAUCCCCAGCAUGACCAAGAAGAUGAAAGAGAGCUUGGCUGGCAUCGCUCAGUAGCCCCACCCCUGUGCACAAACCCAGGUCCGGCCAGGAAGGGUGCCAUGAACUUGGUGAAACUAGGAAACAAACGUGGGAAUACGUCGGGCGCUUUCUUCCGGCAGGGCAGAUUCACUCAGGCCCGUUCAAGUUCAUACCUCUGGUGCCCUACAAUAAAGACACAAAAUGGCUGCUCCUACAGUCCUGCUCAAGGAGGCGGUUGGUUCUGUGCCAUGUGAUGUAACUGAGUGACAGAAAAUACAAUAUUAAACCUUUUGAAUUCUCCAAAGCUGCUGGGACCUUCUAUUUGUGCUUUCAUCCACAUCAAGCAGGUUUUUUUUUUC